UACAGAGGUCCCAAGCGUUGUUCGGAUUCAUUGGGCGUAAAGGGUGCGUAGGCGGCGCGGUAAGUCGGGUGUGAAAUCUCCGGGCUUAACUCGGAAAGGUCAACUGAUACUGUGCGACUAGAGUGCGGAAGGGGCAACUGGAAUUCUCGGUGUAGCGGUGAAAUGCGUAGAUAUCGAGAGGAACACCUGCGGCGAAGGCGGGUUGCUGGGCCGACACUGACGCUGAUGCGCGAAAGCCAGGGGAGCGAACGGG
rnacentral:rRNA from 1 species